rnacentral:rRNA from 1 species
CUUGAACCCUAUAAGAGGUCCAGCCUGCCCAGUGAAACAAUUCAACGGCCGCGGUAUCCUAACCGUGCGAAGGUAGCGUAAUCACUUGUUCUCUAAAUCAGGACUAGUAUGAACGGCAUCACGAGGGUUAUACUGUCUCCUUUUUCCAAUUAGUGAAUUUAAUUUUCCCGUGAAGAAGCGGGAAUAAGCCUAUAAGACGAGAAGACCCUAUGGAGCUUUAAACAAUCUAGCAUCUGCCUAUAUUCUUCAUGUUUCAGAACUUUCUAGACCUCCUACAUAAUGACUAGAAGUUUUAGGUUGGGGUGACCGCGGAGUAAAACCCAUCCUCCAUAAUGAAAGAAUUUUAAUUCUUAACCAAGAAAUACCUAUCUAAGUAUUAACACACUGACAUUUAUUGACCCAAUACAAUUGAUCAACGAAC